GAUGAACGCUGGCGGCGUGCCUAAUACAUGCAAGUCGAGCGAACAGACGAGGAGCUUGCUCCUCUGACGUUAGCGGCGGACGGGUGAGUAACACGUGGAUAACCUACCUAUAAGACUGGGAUAACUUCGGGAAACCGGAGCUAAUACCAGAUAAUAUAUUGAACCGCAUGGAUCAAUAGUGAAAGACGGUUUUGCUGUCACUUAUAGAUGGAUCCGCGCCGCAUUAGCUAGUUGGUAAGGUAACGGCUUACCAAGGCAAAGAUGCGUAACCGACCUGAGAGGGUGAUCGGCCACACUGGAACUGAGACACGGUUCAGACCACUACGGAAGGCAGCAGUAGGGAAUCUUCCGAAACGGACGAAAGUCUGACGGAGCACCGCCGCGUGUGUGAUGAAGGUCUUCGGAUCGUAAAACUCUGUUAUUAGGGAAGAACAACUGUUUCAGUAACUAUGCACGUCUUGAAGGUACCUAAUCAGAAAGCAACGGCUAACUACGUG
rnacentral:rRNA from 1 species